rnacentral:rRNA from 2 species
GCAAGUCGAGCGAACGGACGAGAAGCUUGCUUCUCUGAUGUUAGCGGCGGACGGGUGAGUAACACGUGGAUAACCUACCUAUAAGACUGGGAUAACUUCGGGAAACCGGAGCUAAUACCGGAUAAUAUUUUGAACCGCAUGGUUCAAAAGUGAAAGACGGUCUUGCUGUCACUUAUAGAUGGAUCCGCGCUGCAUUAGCUAGUUGGUAAGGUAACGGCUUACCAAGGCAACGAUGCAUAGCCGACCUGAGAGGGUGAUCGGCCACACUGGAACUGAGACACGGUCCAGACUCCUACGGGAGGCAGCAGUAGGGAAUCUUCCGCAAUGGGCGAAAGCCUGACGGAGCAACGCCGCGUGAGUGAUGAAGGUCUUCGGAUCGUAAAACUCUGUUAUUAGGGAAGAACAUAUGUGUAAGUAACUGUGCACAUCUUGACGGUACCUAAUCAGAAAGCCACGGCUAACUACGUGCCAGCAGCCGCGGUAAUACGUAGGUGGCAAGCGUUAUCCGGAAUUAUUGGGCGUAAAGCGCGCGUAGGCGGUUUUUUAAGUCUGAUGUGAAAGCCCACGGCUCAACCGUGGAGGGUCAUUGGAAACUGGAAAACUUGAGUGCAGAAGAGGAAAGUGGAAUUCCAUGUGUAGCGGUGAAAUGCGCAGAGAUAUGGAGGAACACCAGUGGCGAAGGCGACUUUCUGGUCUGUAACUGACGCUGAUGUGCGAAAGCGUGGGGAUCAAACAGGAUUAGAUACCCUGGUAGUCCACGCCGUAAACGAUGAGUGCUAAGUGUUAGGGGGUUUCCGCCCCUUAGUGCUGCAGCUAACGCAUUAAGCACUCCGCCUGGGGAGUACGACCGCAAGGUUGAAACUCAAAGGAAUUGACGGGGACCCGCACAAGCGGUGGAGCAUGUGGUUUAAUUCGAAGCAACGCGAAGAACCUUACCAAAUCUUGACAUCCUUUGACAACUCUAGAGAUAGAGCCUUCCCCUUCGGGGGACAAAGUGACAGGUGGUGCAUGGUUGUCGUCAGCUCGUGUCGUGAGAUGUUGGGUUAAGUCCCGCAACGAGCGCAACCCUUAAGCUUAGUUGCCAUCAUUAAGUUGGGCACUCUAAGUUGACUGCCGGUGACAAACCGGAGGAAGGUGGGGAUGACGUCAAAUCAUCAUGCCCCUUAUGAUUUGGGCUACACACGUGCUACAAUGGACAAUACAAAGGGCAGCGAAACCGCGAGGUCAAGCAAAUCCCAUAAAGUUGUUCUCAGUUCGGAUUGUAGUCUGCAACUCGACUACAUGAAGCUGGAAUCGCUAGUAAUCGUAGAUCAGCAUGCUACGGUGAAUACGUUCCCGGGUCUUGUACACACCGCCCGUCACACCACGAGAGUUUGUAACACCCGAAGCCGGUGGAGUAACCUUUUAGGAGCUAGCCGUCGAAGGUGGGACAAAUGAUUGGGGUGAAGUCGUAACAAGGUAGCCGUAUCGGAAGGUGCGGCUGGAUCACCU